UUUUUAUUUUUUUUUUAUUUCUCCCGGCCGGUACAGGCUCAUACGGCUGGCAUUAAAAUAAUAAAAUAUUCGGCCGGUACAGGCUGAUACGACUGGUAUUAAAUAAUUGAAAAAAAAAACCGGCCGGUACAGCUUGUCACGGCUGGUAUUAAAAAAUUGAAAAAAAUGUUUUUAUUCAAGCAAUUCGCUGCUAAACAGAU
rnacentral:lncRNA from 1 species